rnacentral:snRNA from 1 species
GUGCUCACUUUGACAGCAGAUAUGCUAAAAUCGGGACGAUACAGAGACGAUUAGCAAGACCCCCUGGGCAAGAAUGACCUGCAAGUUCGUGAAGCAUUCCAUAUUUAA